CAGCCGCCACGGGAAUACCAGCACCUCGAGUGGUCAGGAGGUUUAUUGGGCCUAAAGCAUCCGUAGCCGGUUGCAUAAGUUUUCGGUUAAAUCUAUGCGCUUAACGUAUAGGCCGCCGAAAAUACUGUGCAGCUAGGGAGUGGGAGAGGUACACGGUACUCGAUAGGAAGGGGUAAAAUCCUUUGAUCUAUUGAUGACCACCUGUGGCGAAGGCGGUGUACCAGAACACGUUCGACGGUGAGGGAUGAAAGCUGGGGGAGCAAACCGGAUUAGAUACCCCUGUAGUCCCUGUCUCUUAUAC
rnacentral:rRNA from 1 species